UGUUCGAGCGUCAUUACAACCCUCAAGCUCUGCUUGGUAUUGGGUGUCACCCCCGGGUGCGCCUUAAAAUCAGUGGCGGUGCGUCUGGCUUCAAGCGUAGUAAUACUUCUCGCUUUGGAGUUCCGGGCGAGCGUCUCGACCCAAACCCCAUAUUUUUUCAGGUUGACCUCGGAUCAGGUAGGGAUACCCGCUGAACUUAA
rnacentral:misc_RNA from 1 species